UACGAAGGGGGCUAGCGUUGCUCGGAUUGACUGGGCGUAAAGGGUGCGUAGGCGGCGCGGUAAGUCGGGUGUGAAAUCUUGGAGCUUAACUCCGAAACUGCAUUCGAUACUGCCGUGCUUGAGGACUGGAGAGGAGACUGGAAUUUACGGUGUAGCGGUGAAAUGCGUAGAUAUCGUAAGGAAGACCAGUGGCGAAGGCGGGUCUCUGGACAGUUCCUGACGCUGAGGCACGAAGGCCAGGGGAGCAAACGGG
rnacentral:rRNA from 1 species